GUUCAUUCGGAACCGAAAAUUGCCAAGUGUGAUUCAGCUUCUGCAUGCAACCUCAAAUACUAUAUGGAGAUGGUGAUAUGGUGGAGACAAAUCAGGAUACAGGGACCAAGAACCACCUGAACAGCCAGCACAGACAGAAGGUACACACCUGCACUGACCUCAUCUACUCACGAGAGCCCUGGGCACGAAGGAAAGCCUGGUCCUAUUGCACAAAGGGGAUCAGAGCCUGGUCCAGAGCUCUGUGAUGGAGGCUAUCUAGGGAGUAGUCUUUCCUAGAGGCAGUGGUAUUGUCAGAAGAUGUUCUUUGGUGCAGAAACUGAAACACUUUUGCAUUAAUGUCAGUAUAGAGGAAAGGUAAUUAUCAGGACACCCAGAUAGAGACGUUUUGGACACAAAAUCAAUAAAGCUCAACAUGUCAUUGCUGGGAAGAGAUGGGAAUUAGUCAUGAGCUUAUCAGUCUAGAGAUCAGCUCCCCACACUAGACAUUCCUGGUAUGAGUCAAGUGGCUUGGGGCUAUCAGACCACUGACCUUGCACAUCAGAUCAAGGCACUCGAGGAUGACCUCUGUAAGCAGGAGACAAUCCACUUGGUGGCUGCCCUCAGUUACAUGGACAUCCCCACCACAGAAGCACUAGAAUAUGGCUCGGGAGGUGGACAGCAAAGCAGGCAAUACCAUAGUUACCUGGACAAAGCCUGUUCUGGUGGACAAAGGUGCCAAAGUCAAGUUCCUUGAUGCGGUAUAAAACCU
rnacentral:lncRNA from 1 species